GAUGAACGCUGGCGGCGUGCCUAAUACAUGCAAGUCGAGCGAAUGGAUUAAGAGCUUGCACUUAUGAAGUUAGCGGCGGACGGGUGAGUAACACGUGAGUAACCUGCCCAUAAGACUGGGAUAACUCCGGGAAACCGGGGCUAAUACCGGAUAACAUUUUGAACCGCAUGGUUCGAAAUUGAAAGGCGGCUUCGGCUGUCACUUAUGGAUGGACCCGGGUCGCAUUAGCUAGUUGGUGAGGUAACGGCUCACCAAGGCAACGAUGCGUAGCCGACCUGAGAGGGUGAACGGCCACACUGGGACUGGGACACGGCCCAGACUCCUACGGGAGGCAGCAGUAGGGAAUCUUCCGCAAUGGACGAAAGUCUGACGGAGCAACGCCGCGUGAGUGAUGAAGGCUUUCGGGUCGUAAAACUCUGUUGUUAGGGAAGAACAAGUGCUAGUUGAAUAAGCUGGCACCUUGACGGUACCUAACCAGAAAGCCACGGCUAACUACGUGCCAGCCGCCGCGGUAA
rnacentral:rRNA from 1 species